CUCACCAGGUCAGGACACGGUAAGGAUUGACGGACUGAAGGCUCUUCUCGAUUCCGUGGAAAGUGGUGCAUGGCCGUUUUUGGUUGGUGGAUCGAUCCGUCUGGUUAAUUCCGUUAACGAACGAGACCUCGGCACUCCGAAUAGCGCGGCGGACGUCGCGGCCUCCGGGCCGUCUUCCGCACGAGCUUCUUAGAGGGACCGUCCCCCGCCGGGGAAGGAGGUGCGAGGCAACGACAGGUCUGUGAUGCCCUUAGAUGUUCUGGGCCGCACGCGCAUUACACUGACGCGUCCAACGGGUGACUCCCGACCCGAAGGGGCCGGGGAAUCCGCAAGGCGCGUCGUGAUGGGGAUUGAACGUUGCAAUUGUUGUUCACGAACGAGGAAUUCCUAGUAGGCGCGGGUCAUCAACCCGCGCCGAUUACGUCCCUGCCCUUUGUACACACCGCC
rnacentral:rRNA from 1 species